rnacentral:rRNA from 1 species
UAGGGAAUCUUCGGCAAUGGACGGAAGUCUGACCGAGCAACGCCGCGUGAGUGAAGAAGGUUUUCGGACCGUAAAGCUCUGUUGUUUGAGAAGAACGUUGGUAGGAGUGGAAAAUCUACCAAGUGACGGUAACUAACCAGAAAGGGACGGCUAACUACGUGCCAGCAGCCGCGGUAAUACGUAGGUCCCGAGCGUUGUCCGGAUUUAUUGGGCGUAAAGCGAGCGCAGGCGGUUCUUUAAGUCUGAAGUUAAAGGCAGUGGCUUAACCAUUGUACGCUUUGGAAACUGGAGGGCUUGAGUGCAGAAGGGGAGGGUGGAAUUCCAUGUGUAGCGGUGAAAUGCGUAGAUAUAUGGAGGAACAACGGUGGCGAAAGCGGCUCUCUGGUCUGUAACUGACGAAGAGGCUCGAAAGCGUGGGGAGCAAACAGG